UGAAUGCUGCAGGAUACGAAGUAUAUAUUUGACCCCUGGACCUUUCUAAUCACUAGGGAGCUGCCUCUGUCAAGACCGUGGUCUUGUUAUGUGGCACCCACCUACUAAUUUGGGUUCCAAGGUGGUUACUAAAAAUACACGUUCACAGCGGCUUUACU
rnacentral:other from 1 species